CAGCCGCCACGGUAAUACGUAGGUGGCAAGCGUUGUCCGGAAUUAUUGGGCGUAAAGGGCUCGCAGGCGGCUUCUUAAGUCUGAUGUGAAAGCCCCCGGCUCAACCGGGGAGGGUCAUUGGAAACUGGGAAACUUGAGUGCAGAAGAGGAGAGUGGAAUUCCACGUGUAGCGGUGAAAUGCGUAGAGAUGUGGAGGAACACCAGUGGCGAAGGCGACUCUCUGGUCUGUAACUGACGCUGAGGAGCGAAAGCGUGGGGAGCGAACAGGAUUAGAUACCCCCGUAGUCCCUGUCUCUUAUAA
rnacentral:rRNA from 1 species